AGUGAACGCUGGCGGUAGGCCUAACACAUGCAAGUCGAACGGCAGCACAGUAAGAGCUUGCUCUUACGGGUGGCGAGUGGCGGACGGGUGAGGAAUACAUCGGAAUCUACUUUUUCGUGGGGGAUAACGUAGGGAAACUUACGCUAAUACCGCAUACGACCUACGGUUGAAAGCAGGGGAUCUUCGGACCUUGCGCGAUUGAAUGAGCCGAUGUCGGAUUAGCUAGUUGGCGGGGUAAAGGCCCACCAAGGCGACGAUCCGUAGCUGGUCUGAGAGGAUGAUCAGCCACACUGGAACUGAGACACGGUCCAGACUCCUACGGGAGGCAGCAGUGGGGAAUAUUGGACAAUGGGCGCAAGCCUGAUCCAGCCAUACCGCGUGGGUGAAGAAGGCCUUCGGGUUGUAAAGCCCUUUUGUUGGGAAAGAAAAGCAGCAGGUUAAUACCCCGCUGUUCUGACGGUACCAAAAGAAUAAGCACCGGCUAACUUCGUG
rnacentral:rRNA from 1 species